UUCGGGAGCAGAGCGACAGGUGGUGCAUGGUUGUCGUCAGCUCGUGUCGUGAGAUGUUGGGUUAAGUCCCGCAACGAGCGCAACCCUUGAUCUUAGUUGCCAUCAUUAAGUUGGGCACUCUAAGGUGACUGCCGGUGACAAACCGGAGGAAGGUGGGGAUGACGUCAAAUCAUCAUGCCCCUUAUGACCUGGGCUACACACGUGCUACAAUGGACGGUACAAAGAGCUGCAAGACCGCGAGGUGGAGCUAAUCUCAUAAAACCGUUCUCAGUUCGGAUUGUAGGCUGCAACUCGCCUACAUGAAGCUGGAAUCGCUAGUAAUCGCGGAUCAGCAUGCCGCGGUGAAUACGUUCCCGGGCCUUGUACACACCGCCCGUCACACCACGAGAGUUUGUAACACCCGAAGUCGGUGGGGU
rnacentral:rRNA from 1 species